AUUUCUCUCUUCUCUAUAGAUGGAUGACUUCUAUUAGAAGUAAGUAUACAGUAGAAUCAUCAGGGAAAUGUAAAUCAAAACUGCAUGAGAUAUCGUCUCACGCCAGUCAGAAUGGCCACUAUCCAAAAGACAAGAAAUAACAAGUGUUGGCAAAGAUGUGGAGGCAGGGGAACCCUCCUACACUGUUGGUGGGAAGGUCAUCUUUUGCAGGCCCUUUUUAACAGAUAUCUUCAACUCUGUUGACCUUCUGACAAAUAGAAGUUCUUAAUUUUUAAUGAAGUUUAUCAAACUUUUUACUUUUUGCUUAGUCCUGUUAAAGAAAUGUUUGUCUAGUCCAAGGUAAUAAAGCUACUGUCUUGCAUUUUUUCUGGAAACUUUUUUUUUGUCUUUCACAUUUAGAUCUACAUUCCAGUUGGAAUUUUGGUUUUUUGUUUAGUAUGAUGUGAAGUACGAGUGAAGAAUCACUUUUCUCCAUAUCGAUAACCAGCACCAUUUAUUAAAAAGACUUUUCCCCCA